AUCUGCCAUGGCUGGAGACAACCUACUUUUCCUCAUUAUUAGCAUCCUCAGGAACACGGUACAUGUGAGUAGAUAUUAUGAGAACAUGGGUUACGCUCUGCUGGGCAGAAAAAAUAUAGGACAGAAAAAUGAUAAGAACCCCAGAGCGCUGUCUUGGGUCUUCUAGUCCCUGCCCUGGCUUUUUCUCCUCAUCUGCUCCUUCUUCCUAAUUAGCUCCUACAGCCAGCACAGACUGGACACGGGCCUAGAACAAAGCCAGAUGUUCACAGAGAUUUCGCCUUGCAGGGGAGUCUUUUGUUUACUACAAGAUGGAAAGCACAUCUCUUGCCGUUUCUUUGCUGUGGGAGAGUUUUAUGGGAACAAAACCAUUGUGAACCUGUGGAUGCCAAGGAGGAGCUUUGAAGAAAAACAUUUCUUUUUAUUAAAUGUCAGACACCUUAGAGGCCGGUCACAUUGUUUUAGUGCACAAUCCACACUAUUGGACGUAUAUCGGUGGAAUCAGCAGAACCGUCAUCAGUUGCCUUUGCUGUUUUCCUCUCAUCCAACAUGGCGUGACAGCCAUUAUCCAGCUCAACAUUUAUCGCUGCGAAAUUGACGCAGAGCCUAUUUCUGGGAUGAUUAAUUUAGUGCUAGUGUGGCCACUGCUGGAGGAUCAGUCUUAAUCAGCAAAGAUGGGAGAAAGUCAUGGGUCCAUACAUCAGCCACUGCAGAGACGCAGUGGGAGAAAAAAAAUGAAGACACUUGGAUUUGACUCCAUUUCCAUCCCGGACUGAAUCUUGGAGAUUCUUGGAGGAUUGGGGGGAACAGGUCGAUGGCUUCAAUACAGAGUGUCAGUGCCCGAGUGUGAUUGGACAAUAAUACCCUCACUCUCAUCAGCAUCCUUCAGAUCCACUGUGACUGUAAUUGGGUUAAAGCACAGGGCUAAAACUAGUGAUGAGGGUGAUGAGUCUGACCGCAGUGAAGGAUUUUACAUGAAUCUGGCAGAGAGAGCUGAGAGAGUAACACUUGACGAAAUGAUCAGGUCGUGUCACUGAGUAAUUUUGCAUUAGUGCUACAACUGUGACUGUUGUAAAACCAGUGACUUCAUUUAUCGCAAAACAUAAUUUGGGGACUAUUUAUUGAAAUAGAAGUGACAGUCACUGAUAAAGGCGUCAAGUCUCCUUUUAGUACAUAAGUAGAAAUGUUCUUUUCAAACGUCAGUGUCCACUCGCUCACAGGCGUGCCUUAUGUGUGGCGUGGCUGCAAUAAAUCCACUAGGAAGCAUCCUUAGAGUUUGCGAUCCUCUGCCUGUUUCUUAGACAAUAACAGAUACUAAUAAAUAAAUAAUAAUACUGAUGACAUUAAAUAGAAAUUAUAUUUUUGUAUUUUUAUAUAUAAUAUAAUAAAUAUAUAUAAUAAAAACUAAUUUAGUCUUUGUCCGUAAUCAGUUAUGUUUUCUGUUUAUUUAACAGAUGUUGUCAACCAUGCUAGGAAUACAUUUCCUUUUAGUUUCUUUUUCUGGUAGCAUUUUGCAGGUCCCCGCUGAGUGAGAGCAUAUUCAGGCAGUUGAAGAUUAAGUUUGAUGUUAGGAUUACGAUGUGCCAAAUGUUUGGUGUAUGUAGAUUGGCGUUGUCUCACUUCCUGUUUUGUUUUGAAAUCCAUCCACACUCCUCUCUUUCAAUAUGGUUUCACUGUCAUUAGCUUCUCCACCUUGACCACCUGCACCUGUGUUUUCGUUAUCUCCACCUGUGAGUGGCUCAUGUCGACGUCACCUUAGAGGAGUUGAAAAGUUUUUAGGAGAGCUCUGAUUAAGAGAAGCAGUUGUAGUUGUGCAAUAAACCAAAUCACAAACAAAAUGCCUUUAAAAUGAGGGUGGAAUUAUUCUUAUGGUAUUGUGGAGCGGCUACGUGAGCAGGGGAUCCCCGUUGUUGUCCGUACAGAUCAAUGAAAGUGUCACAAAGGCAGGAGUAAAAAGAAGUUACCUUAGCUGCGGUCAUCUCACUGGGAAGUGAUUGAACAACUGUCAGCUGAGUCAUCGUCAUUAGCAAAGGCUACCAAUGAGGUCUACCAUCCGGGAAACUCUAUAGUGUUCGGAGGCCAGUUCUACGACAGCUUGCUGAAGUCUGAUCUAUAGGACAGGACAAGUUGGCAUCCAGCCUGUGCAAGGAGGUCACAUUGAAGAACAUAAAUACGUGGAAACAUCCAUCACAAAUUCCUAACAUCCAAAUGGGCCGUUCAACUAAUACAGAUGAGAGGAGAAACAGUAAUGAACGUGCUGGGUUGAAGUCACCACGGAAACGGCCCUGUGUCGAUCAAGGUGUCAGAAGUGAUUGGGACUGGACAGCACUCUGGCCUGGACCCAUGGGGUGCUUCUCAGAAAUGCAUGAGAAUGAAGCAAAUCUGUGGUGUGAAAGAUAAGAGCGGAAGCACAAUGGGGAAAAUGUGCUGCAGUCUUUUUAAAUGGGUCAACAAUGCAUAAGGAAACAGCUUCGCACUCAGGAGGGAGAAGGGUGAAAAUACAGUUCCGUUGCAGCCUUCAGGCUUCAUCUGCGUGUAUGUGAGUAUGUAAUAACCACGACACACACACACGCACACACACUGAUAUAAUGAACUGCAUUCCUUGGGUAAACACGACGGCGAUGUCGCACAAACACACACACACACAGGAUAUUGAAACCCUCUCAGGCACGUCGCAGCCAGUGUAAAUGAUGGAGAGGCCGGGCCAUGGAGCCCCCACCUCUCCAUUACUUUAUUCUCCUCUCUGAGCCCUCACAGGAUAAUACAAACACACACACAUGUUCAAACUGUACGCCUACAUAUCGCCUUCCUGCACACAUGCAGCGACACAGGGAGCGGAGACAUGUCACAAACUUUCACAAAGCUCCCCCCAGGCUUUGAUUGAUGGGCGGCGACGGAUCUCCCUCCUGUUUCAUACACAUAUAAUCUCAUUUGUGGGGGGCCCCAUGGUGGGAGCUGCAUCGAAACAGAGCUAAUAGAAGCAGUCAAGCUGUCCUUUUUCCUCUCUCCUCCCCAAGUCACGUCGUAUCCAUUAGGCUCUUUUAUUGCACCCUAUUAGUACUUGUAAAAAAGAAUUUCCUUCUGCUUAAAACACAAAGCUUUUCAGAUGCAUUAUUCAUCCUGGACUGAUCUUAAUGUAUCUCAUGUAGCCAAGGGUUCUCAGUCAGUGCAUCUUAAUAUUUUAGCAGUUACCUUAUUACACAGGAAGGACAGCCAAUGUCUGAUAGGUGGAGGUAUGUGUAAAGGGGAGGAACAGGUGCAUGGCUGUUAGAGCCUUGACAGAAAAAAAAUCAAUGUGAACCUGAACCCUGGGUGAAGGUUGUACCUAUUAAAUAUGCUCCAAUUACAGCAGUGUACUUGAUUAAAGUUUUUUCCCCUGUCACCCCAGAUAUGUAGGCAUCAUCUGCCAAACUCACAUGUUCCAUAAAACAGUUUUAAUUUCCCUUACCUGUAAGAGACUUCUAAGCCUUUUGUACAGCAGCCAACAGCUGCAGGGAAACCAAACUCCUUCCCUGUUACUUGUAAUGUGAGCUUUUAGCUUCUUUGUUGUGUUAGCCAGUCAUGAUGUGUGCUGGAGGUGUGCACACGUGCUCCAUUCUACAUGUGAAUCCCUGGCUGUGAAGCCCUCGGCCCUUGCCGUCCAGGUGGACUUCUUCAUCUCUGCUUCCUUUUUUAUGCUGCACUGUGCACACAACCAGUGUAAACACACCUGGCACUUGUCCACAGCAGCACAGAAACAAACUGCAGCUUGACUUUCUACAAGCAACUCGAAGCGCAGCACUGACGUGCCUACUCUGGUAGCUGUGCUGACAAACAUGUAGCAUGUUUAAGUUGGAAAGUACUUCAUGAAAUAGAUUUGUCUUUUUCUUUCUUAUUAUUGUCAAAAUCAUUUUCUUUUAUUGGCAGCUCUCAUCAAUUGACAAUCUGGCUCUGUCUUACCCUUGUAAGACACUUGUCGCUUUUAACUCACCUCAACCUCAUCCUUGACCUCCUCCCUCUCCAUGUACAUGCACCUUCCCUGCAGUCUCUUUUCCCAGGUCUGGUUGUUCUAUUUCCACCAUAUUUACCCAAACCAUCUCCACUUUGUCUCUCUAACACUGAUUUCAGCCUGUUCCUCUGAUCGGCUCUUUAUAAUCAGUUCACUCCCUAAGAGAAUCUCAGCAUCAUCAUUUCUGCAACCUCCAUCUCUGUCCCAUCUUUUAGAGAGUGCCACUAAUGAAGUACUUGACCUCAUCAACCUUCACUACCUCAACAUUUUUUUCACAGUUUUCAGACAUGAAAUAAUCUCAAAUGGAGACUUGGACUGGAGUCAGAAAACUGUUGUAUAUUGAACAGAGUGUAACGAUAAACCGGCCUGCACCACGCUGAGGACAUGAGGGAGGUUGUGGUUGUGGUUGAGGCCAUAAAAUGAAGUCACGACGCAUUCAUUUUGGUUUUGUGAUGCAAUGUCCGCUGAAAGUUGAUACUGUGAACACUUACAGGUCGGUGUAACCUUUAGCAUGCAAGUUCAAUUUGCAAUAAGGAGCCUAACUGUUGACUCGGUGUUGAAUUAUGGACCUAUGUGUCUGGCUUUCUCAUCUUCUGUUCUGUUCUUUUGAAGGCCUUGUGUGUAGAACAACACAACGGAUGCUGAAUAUGGUGUACACCAUCUUCCUCUUGACGAGGGGAGGGCCAUGGCCUCUGCUCCGAGUUUCCUUGACAUUCUGCACCCAUGUAAGCAACGCUGACAGUGUGUGAUUCAUCUGAUUAAUCACAGCCAGGGUGAAAAAGGACACCAAGGCAGUGAGAGAAGGAACAGACACUUUGCUCAUCAUCGGAUCAAAUAAAGCACAAAUAUCCCCUGUGCAAGCUGCUGGAACCAUCGUUCAGAGAACAAACAGAUUGAUGACUUUCCUGCCAAACAAGAACGAAAGAAUAACACCAUUACAGUCUGACUGAUAUGUUUUGGUUUUGUGUUUUUUUGUUUUGUUUUUUUUGUUUUUUUUUUGUUUUUUUUACAAUUAUUCGAGGUGUUGCAGUCCACUAAAUAUCACUGCCUAUUAGUUUCAGAAACAAACAAGCCCUAUGUCUGAUCAGUGUUGUGAUUCAACCCGUCGGCAGCGAACUAUUCCCUGGGGUUGUGCUUCAACACAGCAAAAUGAUGUUCUCAUUUAGCCAGUUCAAGUUUCUCCAAGUCUACACAAGAGUACAGCAAUGGAGGAAAAACAACGAACACCAGGGCUGCUCAUCAUAGACCUUGUGAGCCUUGUAAAACUGUACAAAAUGCCCUCCAACAAUUCACCGUGGUACAGAAAAAACACACACAACAGAGGCUGGAUUGCAGUGAUUGAUUGUGCCUCAGGAGAGGCAAAUCUGUAAAUAUGAAUCGGCUUUGUCCCCGGCAAAGCUUUAUCUGAUGUGAUCACUGCUUGUGUGAAAUGAAAUUCCAUUUUAGGCGACAUGAAAUUGAAAGGAGCAACGAAAGGAAGGUGACAUCCUCGAUGCUGCCACUUAAAAUCAGUGGUGUGGACAGCAAUCAAAGUGACAUGGGGUAAGAACUUCUCAACCACUACCGUUUUUUUUUUUCUCUCUCUCUCUUUUCUAGAAUUGUAUAAGCUUCUUGAAAUUAGCUGGUUAACUGUCUGGAGAACUCAGCUAACUGUCAUGUUUAUUACAUAUGGAGAAACAGAAGUAAUGCAAUUGUUUACCCCACAGGUAACAGCCUGUAUAUUAACUUAAUAUGCAGAGUAAUGUAACAGGAGCUGCAAAUGCCAGCUUUAGCAAUAUCUGAGUGCACCGCUCUGCUGCUGUAUCAGGUGAGUCUAAUCCUUUAGAUUAGCAAUCGCUUCAGAGCAAAUGCAUUCGAAUCACCUAACUAAAUUAUCUUUUAGAAAAAGCUGCCAACAAAAAACAAGCAGGCUUUUUGUGCAGCCCAAUUCCUUUAAUUUUCUCCCAGAACAAACAGCAAAACCCUGAGUGGCCAUAUUGAAUUAUUCUAUAAUGUUCCUGGGAAAUAUUAGCCACUUUGCAACUACUAUGAUUACAGCCGCGUAAUUAGGGUCCCUCCAUCCAUUUUCAUCGGCUUAUCCGUUACCUGGUCGGUAACCUAGUUACCUAGUCUCCAUGACCGCCACCCAAAUCACAUUGCACCGUACCAACCCCCCUAAAGUGGUGAGUCCACUGGAAGGUACCAACCGCCCUAACCGGGAUUCGAACUUGCCCAGGAGGUGAACCCUGGGGUUCCACACCAAUGACAGAGACAUUGCUUCUGGGCCAAAAGCGCCACCUACAAAGACAUACUGGCUUCAAAUUUUAGUCUAGCUGAAAACAUUUCUUACUUAGAUUGGCAGAGGGAGGGUCACAAUUUAGCUGAAUUACCAACAAUAAUGUCUCUACUCCUAAAGUACUGGCAUCAAUGGAAACAUAGUGUAUCAUCACAUUGGGCUCAAUGAGUGACUGACUGCCACAACUUUUUCACAGAUACAAUCACAAAAGCUGCAACUAAAGCCAAGGGUCAGGCAGUUUGUGAAGCUUUGGUCUGUGGGGGGUUUUAAAGCUACAUUUUGUAGGUUAAAAACAAAUCAAGCAGCAGGCAAAUAGGCACAUUUCCAUAUUGGUUUCCUGAUGGGCCCAGGGUCUGAAGGACAAUCACAUCUUACGUUUUGGGUACAAACACAUACAAGUGAGAGUCAUUUGCAUUGUUUGUCUCAUGUUAGCAAAUCAAGGUGGUGGAUUCACCCUAAGCAAAUCAGCUGCUCCACUGCCCUAUUAGGUUUGCGCAGAUGAGGUUGUACAUGCUGCGUUGCGCUACAAAAGGAACAGCUGGCCAGAGCACAGGUGGUGGACACCUGAGGGCUGAGUUUAAAGCCUAUGUUCGGCCCUAAGGCAAAAUGACCCCUGGUUUGAGUCUGUUCUUCACCUAUGCCUGCCUUGAGGGUGCUGUAGGUUUAAGAGCAUAAAACACACAAGCUGCUGCAGCUCAGUACUGAUUAUAAAACCCAUCCACCUGAGCAGCAGUGGCUGUUUGAAGUGCAAUGAUAAAACAAAAGCCCAUGGUUUGUGAUAAUUCAAUGGCUAAGUGAUUUCAUUUCUCACCGCGUUAUGGUUGGACAGCAUUUAUUUUUCUGGCACCGGGGAGAAGAAGAGAAGCCACUGCCAAAAGUCAUAAAGUUAAGUGUUGUGUUAAAGCCAUGCACUGCUCAUAAGAUUGCAGAUGCAAUAAGUGGACACAGGAUUGUAAAUGAGAAGAUGGAACAAGCCCCAGAACUAGCCAACCUUUGGAUGUGGGACACAUUGGUACGAAGGGAGCAGAAAUGUAAAGCUGAAUAAGUGCAGCUUUUAGUGCAGCUGAAAAACAAAUGGACUCCAGGCUGUUUAUCCUGUUUAAACCCAGGCUCAUUUCACACUUUACUAGAAAAUGUUGGCUAGAAGUGAUCUGCACCGCAAAAGUUUUCAUUUAACUGUAGUGUUAUCUUGCCUUACCUUAUCCACUUUAACUCAUUAAGAAAGGAAGCCACUCCCGUGUUUUUCCUUGGAAGAUUGCAAUGUAUUCUCAAACCAGUCUGAAGCUGUGAUGCCCCCAAGGACCAGAUGUGGCUCAAAUUUAAAACAUAACACUAGUAUAUGGCUCAUAUAUGGUUUACAAUUAUGUCACUAGUGGACCUAGUGUAGCAUUUACUCAAGUAAGCCAAAACCAGAGUAACCCUGACAUAAUACAACAGUUGCCGAUAUUUCAUAAAACGGUUCAUAAAAAUAAAAAUAGCUAAGAAAUGCCAUUUCAAGUCGUAAUCCAAUGGCAAAAUUUGGGACAAAUUCUUCUUUAGGCUCAAGGCUACUUUCCGGGCCAUGUAAAAGCCAAGUAGUUCCAAAUAAUGACUAAAUAUGGCUGAACCAAACUGCUUUUGGUCCUUCUCAUUUAAGGGCCUUGUGAUUUGAAAGUGUGUUCCAAAUCGGUGUAUGUGUACUGUACCAGUCUUAAGGUAGGGUCAAGGGUCAUGUGCAGUGUAGAUUAAGUCAACACUAAAAAGCAAAGGGCCUGUACAUUUGGAUCUUUCUUUUAUUUUUUUAAAGUUUUAUUUGUAAGAAAGGGAAAGAAGAAUUUGAAAGAACCCAGGGAAUAUUAGAGCAUUAACACAAAGUGCAUUCCUUCUCUGGCCUGUCACUAUUUUCUUUGUCCUGCUUAGUGUUUGUUCCAGCUCACCUUAAUCACUGAUUAAAUGUCUGAAAUGGCUGAACUGAAAAGCUCAACUGUCCAAUAAACACCCCUUUGUUUUGUGGUUACCUGCCCAGGCUGGUUGGCCAAGCACUUAGUGAAAGAUUAGGGUCGGUGAGAAUAGAACAAAAAAAAAAAGAAGGGCGAAACCUGAACCCUCACAGAGAUUACAGUCCACCCUAUUCUCUUUCUCUCUGUCCCUCCCUGUCUUUUUCAUUCCACUCAAUCCCUUGUGAGACAGUGGGGGCCAUUCUCCACAGCGCUAACAGGGCUGCCUUUCUUGGGCCUGUCUGUCUCACUGCUCGCAGAUAGAAAACAAAACGUGUGUUAGGAAAAAUAAAUCAGACAUUGGAGGUGAAAACUAAACUACAAAACGUUCUUUAUCUACACUUGUGCAAUUUAAAGGAUAUUGUCCACGUUAUAAUUUUCUGUAAUCCAAUAAUUCCAUGAACCGACGUUCACAAGUGUCCUUGAACAUUUCAAUGCGGCUCUGCCUCCGGAGGCAGAAUGUUUCUGCGCACAGCAUCCCUAAAAUCAAGUGCAUGACCACUUCAGCGCUUAAUUCACCACUGCACUUUAAUGCAAGAAUUGAGGCACACAAAUAUGUGCACCUUCUCCUGUAAGCCAUUAAAUUACCUUCCAUUCACCCUCAACUGAAUCAACACUGAGUAUUUACGGAGCCCGUAGGAUAUAAAAGGCAAUUUUAAUAUCUGCUUGCUGUUAUAUAUUAAAAAACUAACAGGAUGCAAAACACAGUAACCACCGCUGAUGUGCCCCAGUUGGCCUGUAAAUGCUUUUCUUUACGAUUUUACACUUCAUGCUGUCCGAAUGAUUUUUUUCAGAGACUUUCUCUAUUUGUAUGUGUGUGUAUAUAUAUAUAUACAUAUGUGUGUGUGUGUGUGUGUGUGUGUGUGUGUAUUUAGAGUGUAGUAGCAGUAGCACACAAUACAUGCUGGUGCCACUGCUGCAAAAGAGUGGCCUUUUAAUUAUGCAGGAGACUUCCAGAAGAAACAGCACUUCUCACACCCUGGGAAGGCAGCACGGCAAAUACACCGUAUCACAAGCUCAGAAAGGAAGUGGAAACGACUGGAAAAGUGCCAUACUCUGUGUGUGUGUGUGUGUAUAUAUAUAUAUAUAUAUAUAGAGAGAGAGAGAGAGAGAAGAGAUAUGAAGAGGAGAAUUUUAAAAACGAAACCACCACAGAGAACACCAUUGUAAGGGAUGGGUUGUGGCUACAAGCUAAAAAAAAAAAAAAACAGCUGAAAAAGAUUCAGAAUUUCAGGAGGCAGCACGCUUGGCUGCAAGAUUUUCAAGGAUGUUCUAGCCAGGGUCAAAGCGUGACAGUGGGCAAGAAAAACCUGAGUGUAGGGAGAUAUCAAGGAGUAAACUCACAAGCAGAAGGUGAAAAAAAAAUAGAGGAAACAGUGAGGAGCUGCUGACGCCAGGUAAAGUUAAAAAAAAAAUAGGAAUCAAUAAAACAUUACAGCGCCAUAGAAAACACAUUAAACAAAACUGUUCCCUUUCCCAGGAAUUCAAAUGAGGUGGCUUCAUGUUUAUGCAUUUACAUUUUUGCUGCUGUUGCACGAAAAACGGGACAAAAAAGAUUAACUGAAUGGAAUGUCACAGCACCUACAUCUACACUAAGUCAGAAUGAGAGGGAGAAAAGGUGGAGAGUGAGAGAGGAGACGAGGUAAAGAGAUACAAAUAAGGGAAUGAGAGAAUCAGAGGCAUAUAUGGACAGUGACAUUAAAAUGUCAGGUCAAUGAAUUGGUGCCGACACUCGAGUGGAGAAGAAUGUUAAUAUGUCUCCCGGACCAGAUGUUCUUAAUCAAGGCCAGACUGUAAAACGACUGAGUCACAAAGCUGACAAAGCCAUGUUUGUGCUGCAUCUAACCUACAAUCUACCUUUGUGCUUUUGUCUGCCUUUUUUUUUCUUUCUAUCCUGUGAAGAAAAGCUAGCCUUGUUACAGACAGGAGCAGAGCAAGACAGGACAGAGACAAGCUUGACAUGGGCUAAAGGUAGUGGUGGUGGUAAGGAGGAGGGGGUCUGCAGCCACCCCCUGCCAUGCCUCCCCAGAGACAGAAAAUUGCUGCAAACCAAAGCCUUAUGUGAGCUGUCUGACACACAUUCACUGAUGCAGACUCCACACAUGCUUGGAUAAAAGUUAAAAAAAAAGAAAAAACGUCCUUUGACAUGUUCGGUCGUAUGAGUGGUAACCCUGUAUGCCCCCAGACCCCUGCUUUUCUUCCUGCUAAUCUAAACCUUACUUCUUCCUUUUCAAUAUAACAUGUGAAUGGCACUCCAAACCAAAACAGAUCAAUGUUGCUAACUUGACACACAUUAGCACCAUAAAGGCAACAAGACUACUGAGACUGGUCCUGUCAGAAGGCAUUAUGGGAGAGAAAACACUGAACAGAAAGAACAGGAGACAUUUAAGGAGAGAAGUGGAAGGAAGGAAAGAAGGAAAGGAGGA